rnacentral:lncRNA from 1 species
GGAAGAAUUGUGGGAUGGCAAUUUAAUGGUUGGCUGAUAUUGGGGAGUAUGUGGAGGAUCAUAAUGUGGCAAAUGACAGGUUUGAAAAAGGUAGUAAAGUAUGUUCAGGAAUUGGAGGCGGGUGAGGAAAAGGGUCAUCUCAUUGGAGGUCUUCUUGAGGUGGCUUUGGAGAGCUUGGGGAUGAGUUUCACCAACUUUUG